rnacentral:lncRNA from 1 species
GUUCGGGACCUGGGCGGUGGGGCCCGGCGUCGAAACCAGUGCUGGCCCUCUGCUGGCGCAGCUCCUGAGAAGGCCUUCGUGUGCCCCUUGGAUUGGCCACGAUUUCCAAGACCUGGGAACUAAAUGUACAACUUCCAGAGGAGCUGCCAGCAGGGGACGCACGCCUUUGGGAGCACGGGGCUCCUGGGGCCCCGGCCCACUGCCUGCAACUGCUCUUUGCCGCUGCUUCAGAUCCCGGUGCUCGCUCCAGAGAUGCCUGAGACGAACAUCAAGAAAAAAGGCGUGUUCUGGCUCGCAGUUUCUGAGGCUGUGCCUGGGAUUGGACAGACGGUGGUGGAAGACACGGCCGUGGGGAGAGCAAGCUGCCCACCUGGUAGCCAGGAAGCAGGCGAGGAGAAGGGGCCAGGGGCCCACAAGGUCAUGCCCCCAGCACCCCAAGACCUGGGCUACGCCCUCCCCAGUGGCUGCAGCACUGGCCCACAGCGCCCCUGGGGAUGGGGCCAGGGCUCGCAGGGGCCUCCAGCAUGCAGACCAGACUGGAGCAGCGUGGAGCCUGACCAUUAGGAUGCUUCGGCUGGUAGCACAGGACCCCCCUGGCCAGCCCCGGGUGCAUCCCAGCCUCAGUCAGGAGGGCUCAGUUGUGCCGUGGCGACAGCCCGACCUCAGCGUCCCCAGGGCCCAGCAGCUGUCAGGUGGUCUCUUGGGCCUGCUGGCAGAGCGGCCCCAGACCAUCACUGUCAUGGGUUGCGCCUGGCACCCCCCCCGCAGAGCCCCAGGCCCAGGCUUCGGCAGAUGGGGGAGGGAGGACGCCUGGUCUCUUCUGCACAUGGACACCAGUCCUGGCCAGGUGUCACCACAGAGCCACGAGGCACAGGCUCACCGGCCAGCAGCGGGGUCAGGCCCCUGGUAGCCGACAUUGAUGUCCAGCACCAUGACGUGAGCCCAGCCCUGUGCUACCCCAUGCACCUUCCUGGCCACCCAGCUUUGCUGGCUCCAGCAUGCUGUGUGGCCGUCCAUGGACACCCCGCAUCUCUGAGCCUUCGUGUCCGUGUCUGUCGGUGAGGGCGAUCUCCUGGCAUGCCAGAUACUGCACCCGGACCUGUGACCUGUAACCUGGCUGGCUGAGGGCUGGGGUCAGCCAGGCCCUGGUGUGAGUCCUGCCCUGCCGCUGCAGUGGGCGUGCACCCAUGUGUGCGUGUGGGUGUGCGUGUGUGAAGCACUGCCCUGUCCCAAGCAAGCCUGUUCCACAGAAUCAGCUGUCUGAGACCGGCUGCCCUGCUCGAGUGCCCAUGGGAGAGGACACCAUGCUCUGCACACCUCCCCUCUGCACAGAGCCGCUGUGUCUGUGCGAGGCCCCGGGACAGUCUGGGC